AUUGAACGCUGGCGGCAGGCCUAACACAUGCAAGUCGAGCGGAUGAAGGGAGCUUGCUCCUGGAUUCAGCGGCGGACGGGUGAGUAAUGCCUAGGAAUCUGCCUGGUAGUGGGGGAUAACGUCCGGAAACGGGCGCUAAUAACGCAUACGUCCUGAGGGAGAAAGUGGGGGAUCUUCGGACCUCACGCUAUCAGAUGAGCCUAGGUCGGAUUAGCUAGUUGGUGGGGUAAAGGCCUACCAAGGCGACGAUCCGUAACUGGUCUGAGAGGAUGAUCAGUCACACUGGAACUGAGACACGGUCCAGACUCCUACGGGAGGCAGCAGUGGGGAAUAUUGGACAAUGGGCGAAAGCCUGAUCCAGCCAUGCCGCGUGUGUGAAGAAGGUCUUCGGAUUGUAAAGCACUUUAAGUUGGGAGGAAGGGCAGUAAGUUAAUACCUUGCUGUUUUGACGUUACCAACAGAAUAAGCACCGGCUAACUUCGUG
rnacentral:rRNA from 1 species